rnacentral:rRNA from 1 species
UUAGUGGCGAACGGGUGAGUAACACGUGAGUAACCUGCCCUUGACUCUGGGAUAAGCGCUAGAAAUGGCGUCUAAUACCGGAUACNAGCUUCAGCCGCAUGGCUAGGAGUUGGAAAGAAUUUUGGUCAAGGAUGGACUCGCGGCCUAUCAGCUAGUUGGUGAGGUAAUGGCUCACCAAGGCGACNACGGGUAGCCGGCCUGAGAGGGUGACCGGCCACACUGGGACUGAGACACGGCCCAGACUCCUACGGGAGGCAGCAGUGGGGAAUAUUGCACAAUGGGCGAAAGCCUGAUGCAGCAACGCCGCGUGAGGGAUGACGGCCUUCGGGUUGUAAACCUCUUUUAGUAGGGAAGAAGCGAAAGUGACGGUACCUGCAGAAAAAGCACCGGCUAACUACGUGCCAGCAGCCGCGGUAAUACGUAGGGUGCAAGCGUUGUCCGGAAUUAUUGGGCGUAAAGAGCUCGUAGGCGGUUUGUCGCGUCUGCUGUGAAAUCUGGGGGCUCAACCCCCAGCCUGCAGUGGGUACGGGCAGACUAGAGUGCGGUAGGGGAGAUUGGAAUUCCUGGUGUAGCGGUGGAAUGCGCAGAUAUCAGGAGGAACACCGAUGGCGAAGGCAGAUCUCUGGGCCGUAACUGACGCUGAGGAGCGAAAGCAUGGGGAGCGAACAGGAUUAGAUACCCUGGUAGUCCAUGCCGUAAACGUUGGGAACUAGAUGUGGGGGCCAUUCCACGGUCUCCGUGUCGCAGCUAACGCAUUAAGUUCCCCGCCUGGGGAGUACGGCCGCAAGGCUAAAACUCAAAGGAAUUGACGGGGGCCCGCACAAGCGGCGGAGCAUGCGGAUUAAUUCGAUGCAACGCGAAGAACCUUACCAAGGCUUGACAUAUACCGGAAACGUCCAGAGAUGGUCGCCCCGCAAGGUCGGUAUACAGGUGGUGCAUGGUUGUCGUCAGCUCGUGUCGUGAGAUGUUGGGUUAAGUCCCGCAACGAGCGCAACCCUCGUUCUAUGUUGCCAGCACGUUAUGGUGGGAACUCAUAGGAGACUGCCGGGGUCAACUCGGAGGAAGGUGGGGAUGACGUCAAAUCAUCAUGCCCCUUAUGUCUUGGGCUUCACGCAUGCUACAAUGGCCGGUACAAAGGGCUGCGAUACCGUAAGGUGGAGCGAAUCCCAAAAAGCCGGUCUCAGUUCGGAUUGAGGUCUGCAACUCGACCUCAUGAAGUNGGAGUCGCUAGUAAUCGCAGAUCAGCAACGCUGCGGUGAAUACGUUCCCGGGCCUUGUACACACCGCCCGUCAAGUCAUGAAAGUCGGUAACACCCGAAGCCAG